rnacentral:rRNA from 1 species
AUUUAGGUAGCGCCUCGUGAACUCAUCUUCGGGGGUAGAGCACUGUUUCGGCUAGGGGGCCAUCCCGGCUUACCAACCCGAUGCAAACUACGAAUACCGAAGAAUGUUAUCACGGGAGACACACGGCGGGUGCUAACGUCCGUCGUGAAGAGGGAAACAACCCAGACCGCCAGCUAAGGUCCCAAAGUCAUGGUUAAGUGGGAAACGAUGUGGGAAGGCACAGACAGCCAGGAUGUUGGCUUAGAAGCAGCCAUCAUUUAAAGAAAGCGUAAUAGCUCACUGGUCGAGUCGGCCUGCGCGGAAGAUGUAACGGGGCUAAACCAUGCACCGAAGCUGCGGCAGCGACACUUAUGUGUUGUUGGGUAGGGGAGCGUUCUGUAAGCCGUUGAAGGUGUGCUGUGAGGCAUGCUGGAGGUAUCAGAAGUGCGAAUGCUGACAUAAGUAACGAUAAAGCGGGUGAAAAGCCCGCUCGCCGGAAGACCAAGGGUUCCUGUCCAACGUUAAUCGGGGCAGGGUGAGUCGACCCCUAAGGCGAGGCCGAAAGGCGUAGUCGAUGGGAAACAGGUUAAUAUUCCUGUACUUGGUGUUACUGCGAAGGGGGGACGGAGAAGGCUAUGUCAGCCGGGCGACGGUUGUCCCGGUUUAAGCAUGUAGGCGGAGGUUCCAGGUAAAUCCGGUACCUUGUUAACGCUGAGGUGUGAUGACGAGGCACUACGGUGCUGAAGUGAUAAAUGCCCUGCUUCCAGGAAAAGCCUCUAAGCAUCAGGUAACACGAAAUCGUACCCCAAACCGACACAGGUGGUCAGGUAGAGAAUACCAAGGCGCUUGAGAGAACUCGGGUGAAGGAACUAGGCAAAAUGGUGCCGUAACUUCGGGAGAAGGCACGCUGAUGUGUAGGUGAAGCCCCUGCGGGUGGAGCUGAAAUCAGUCGAAGAUACCAGCUGGCUGCAACUGUUUAUUAAAAACACAGCACUGUGCAAACACGAAAGUGGACGUAUACGGUGUGACGCCUGCCCGGUGCCGGAAGGUUAAUUGAUGGGGUUAGCGGCAACGCGAAGCUCUUGAUCGAAGCCCCGGUAAACGGCGGCCGUAACUAUAACGGUCCUAAGGUAGCGAAAUUCCUUGUCGGGUAAGUUACGACCUGCACGAAUGGCGUAAUGAUGGCCAGGCUGUCUCCACCCGAGACUCAGUGAAAUUGAACUCGCUGUGAAGAUGCAGUGUACCCGCGGCAAGACGGAAAGACCCCGUGAACCUUUACUAUAGCUUGACACUGAACACUGGUCCUUGAUGUGUAGGAUAGGUGGGAGGCUUUGAAGCGUGGACGCCAGUCUGCGUGGAGCCAACCUUGAAAUACCACCCUUUAAUGGCUGGUGUUCUAACGUGGACCCGUAAUCCGGGUUGCGGACAGUGUCUGGUGGGUAGUUUGACUGGGGCGGUCUCCUCCCAAAGAGUAACGGAGG